UACGGAGGAUGCGAGCGUUAUCCGGAUUUAUUGGGUUUAAAGGGUGCGUAGGCGGGCUUUUAAGUCAGCGGUAAAAAUUCGGGGCUCAACCCCGUCCGGCCGUUGAAACUGGGGGCCUUGAGUGGGCGAGAAGAAGGCGGAAUGCGUGGUGUAGCGGUGAAAUGCAUAGAUAUCACGCAGAACCCCGAUUGCGAAAGCAGCCUUCCGGCGCCCUACUGACGCUGAGGCACGAAAGUGCGGGGAUCGAACAGG
rnacentral:rRNA from 1 species